CAAUAGCGUAUAUUUAAGUUGUUGCAGUUAAAAAGCUCGUAGUUGGAUUUCGGGUGGGACGCAGCGGUCUCGCAUUGCGUUUGUACUGCUGCAGCCCUCCUUCUUGCCGGGGGCGGCCUCUCGGACUUCACUGUCUGGGGGUCAGAAUCGGCGAUGUUACUUUGAGUAAAUUAGAGUGUUCAAAGCAAGCUUACGCUCUGAAUAUAAUAGCAUGGGAUAACACGACAGGACUCUGGCCUAUCGUGUUGGUCUAUAGGACCAGAGUAAUGAUUAAGAGGGACAGUCGGGGGCAUUCGUAUUCCGUUGUCAGGGGUGAAAUUCUUGGAUUUACGGAAGACGAACAUCUGCGAAAGCAUUUGCCAAGGAUGUUUNCAUUGA
rnacentral:rRNA from 1 species